rnacentral:rRNA from 1 species
AGUGGCGGACGGGUGAGUAACGCGUAAGAAUCUAACUUCAGGACGGGGACAACAGUUGGAAACGACUGCUAAUACCCGAUGUGCCGCAAGGUGAAACCUAAUUGGCCUGGAGAAGAGCUUGCGUCUGAUUAGCUAGUUGGUGGGGUAAAGGCCUACCAAGGCGACGAUCAGUAGCUGGUCUGAGAGGAUGAGCAGCCACACUGGGACUGAGACACGGCCCAGACUCCUACGGGAGGCAGCAGUGGGGAAUUUUCCGCAAUGGGCGAAAGCCUGACGGAGCAACGCCGCGUGAGGGAGGAAGGUCUUUGGAUUGUAAACCUCUUUUCUCAAGGAAGAAGUUCUGACGGUACUUGAGGAAUCAGCCUCGGCUAACUCCGUGCCAGCAGCCGCGGUAAUGCGGGGGAGGCAAGCGUUAUCCGGAAUUAUUGGGCGUAAAGCGUCCGCAGGUGGUCAGCCAAGUCUGCCGUCAAAUCAGGUUGCUUAACGACCUAAAGGCGGUGGAAACUGGCAGACUAGAGAGCAGUAGGGGUAGCAGGAAUUCCCAGUGUAGCGGUGAAAUGCGUAGAGAUUGGGAAGAACAUCGGUGGCGAAAGCGUGCUACUGGGCUGUAUCUGACACUCAGGGACGAAAGCUAGGGGAGCGAAAGGGAUUAGAUACCCCUGUAGUCCUAGCCGUAAACGAUGGAUACUAGGCGUGGCUU